UACGGAGGGUGCAAGCGUUGUUCGGAAUUAUUGGGCGUAAAGAGCUCGUAGGCGGUCUGUUACGUCGGCUGUGAAAACCUGGGGCUCAACCCCGGGCCUGCAGCCGAUACGGGCAGACUAGAAUUCGGUAGGGGAGACUGGAAUUCCUGGUGUAGCGGUGAAAUGCGCAGAUAUCAGGAGGAACACCGGUGGCGAAGGCGGGUCUCUGGGCCGAUAUUGACGCUGAGGAGCGAAAGCGUGGGGAGCGAACAGG
rnacentral:rRNA from 1 species